rnacentral:rRNA from 1 species
AAGUCGAACGAGAGAAGAGAAGCUUGCUUUUCUGAUCUAGUGGCGGACGGGUGAGUAACACGUGAGCAAUCUGCCUUUCAGAGGGGGAUACCGAUUGGAAACGAUCGUUAAUACCGCAUAAUAUAAUUGAACCGCAUGAUUUGAUUAUUAAAGAUUUAUCGCUGAAAGAUGAGCUCGCGUCUGAUUAGCUAGUUGGUAAGGUAACGGCUUACCAAGGCGACGAUCAGUAGCCGGACUGAGAGGUUGAUCGGCCACAUUGGGACUGAGACACGGCCCAGACUCCUACGGGAGGCAGCAGUGGGGAAUAUUGCACAAUGGAGGAAACUCUGAUGCAGCGAUGCCGCGUGAGGGAAGAAGGUUUUAGGAUUGUAAACCUCUGUCUUCAGGGACGAAAAAUGACGGUACCUGAGGAGGAAGCUCCGGCUAACUACGUGCCAGCAGCCGCGGUAAUACGUAGGGAGCGAGCGUUGUCCGGAAUUACUGGGUGUAAAGGGAGCGUAGGCGGGAUCGCAAGUCAGAUGUGAAAACUAUGGGCUUAACCCAUAAACUGCAUUUGAAACUGU